AUCUUGCAAAGUUGAAUUACGUAAUUGCUUGUCGCAGUACCUGAUGUCGAACUGCAUUUCUUAUUAUUGGUUAUUUCCAGACUGCGUGAAAAUGACGGUGCCAACAUAUUAACUACAGACGAGAGAAUUCAGCUUUAGAACUUCCAACUGUUUUAUUAACCGCCGAGAGAUCAAGAUAAGAAGGGGAAGUUGAUAAUCUCGUCUGAGCAAGGAUCUAGAUAUCGAUCUAAGGUUACCUUAAUCACGAUAAAAGCUUGCCUCUUGCCAAUUCUUCAAAGCCCUGAAAUCCACAAAUGGCUAGCUGGUUGGCGAGACGUCUGUCAAAAGUGCUUUUGCCGGCUUAGAUGAAUUUGGAAAUCGUGCAUGGUAUCCUGCUUAUUUCAAGUGCUUCAACUGUAAGAUGAACUUCUACAUGUGAACUCGAAUUUAAUUUUCUUUUCAAGAAUUUUCCUCAACUGUACUUGUCAGAUUAAAAUUAGUUUAAACUUUAUAGUUUUUCUAUAUAUAUAAUUGCUUUAGAUAGUAGUUUAAAGGGAACUUCAAUGUAUAUUAGCAUAGCUUUCAAAUUCAUAAAUAUAAAAUUUUGAUUCCUUUCUUAAACUUUGUUUCAAAUCCCCCUCGAAGGAAACGGACAACUACCGAAAACUAAAUUUCCCUCACCCGAUUAAAGACUAGUACUAAUGCGCAGGUAUUUGAUGCUGUGUCAAAAUUGGUAUUGAGAACUACAAAUUGUCGAUAACAAACUGUAUCAAACAAUUAAGCAAAGCAUUUAAAUACCACUUAAAUGUAUUUCAGUUGUGUCGGAAAUUCCGCUCACGAAUAUAAAUCUUCAAAUCGAUGCUUUAUAGCACUCAUUCAAAGCCUAAUUCGGCUGUACUCCGUGGUUUUCCGUCCAAUUUCGUGAAGCAAUAACUAGUAUUCUAAAUGAGUGGCGGCUUCCUAUGUCGGCGCUGUCUUAUGAAUAUUUGCCGUUAAAGCCCUUUCUUGCUUUUAUGAAGUCUAGCAGAAAUAUUAAAUAAUAGAUAAGGUUCUAAAUCUCUUCGGAAACAACCUUGCAUUAUUCGCUUGGUACAACCCUUGAACAUAUUUG